AGCAGCCGCGGUAAUUCCAGCUCCAAUAGCGUAUAUUAAAGUUGUUGCAGUUAAAAGCUCGUAGUUGAAUUUCGGGGUUAGUAGGUUGGUCAUGCCUCUGGUAUGUACUGGUCUCACUGAUUCCUCCUUCCUGAUGAACCUUAAUGCCAUUAAUUUGGUGUUUUGGGGAAUUUGGACUGUUACUUUGAAAAAUUGAGUGUUUAAAGCAAGCUAACGCUUGAAUACAUUAGCAUGGAAUAAUGAAAUAGGACGUUCGAUCCUAUUUUGUUGGUUUCUAGGAUUGACGUAAUGAUUAAUAGGGAUAGUUGGGGGCAUUAGUAUUCAAUUGUCAGAGGUGAAAUUCUUGGAUUUAUUGAAGACUAACUACUGCGAAAGCAUUUGCCAAGGAUGUUUUCAUUAAUCAAGAACGAAAGUUAGGGAUCGAAGACGAUCAGAUACCGUCGUAGUCUUAACCAUAAACUAUGCCGACUAGGGAUCGGGAUGAUGUUAAUUUUUUAAUGUACUCAUUCGGCGCCUUACG
rnacentral:misc_RNA from 1 species